UACGGAGGAUGCAAGCGUUAUCCGGAAUGAUUGGGCGUAAAGCGUCCGCAGGUGGCUAUGUAAGUCUGCUGUUAAAGAGUGAGGCUCAACCUCAUAAGAGCAGUGGAAACUACAUGGCUAGAGUGCGUUCGGGGCAGAGGGAAUUCCUGGUGUAGCGGUGAAAUGCGUAGAGAUCAGGAAGAACACCGGUGGCGAAAGCACUCUGCUGGGCCGACACUGACACUGAGAGACGAAAGCUAGGGGAGCGAAUGGG
rnacentral:rRNA from 1 species